UACGGGGGGGGCAAGCGUUGUUCGGAAUUACUGGGCGUAAAGGGCUCGUAGGCGGCCAACUAAGUCGGAUGUGAAAUCCCCAGGCUUAACCUGGGAAUUGCAUCCGAUACUGGAUGACUUGAGUUCGGGAGAGGGAUGCGGAAUUCCAGGUGUAGCGGUGAAAUGCGUAGAUAUCUGGAGGAACACCGGUGGCGAAGGCGGCAUCCUGGACCGACACUGACGCUGAGGAGCGAAAGCCAGGGGAGCAAACGGG
rnacentral:rRNA from 1 species